CCAAAAUCUCUUAGCCGAGGGAGUAGAAUGAACACACUCCAGAGACUAAAAGUGAAGUCUACAUUCGCCAGGAAGGAAGAUCCAGAUUUGAAGGAACUCUCUUGGAGGCCCUGAAUGAAUGUGGAGGCAUGUGGGUAAGGCAGCUCUCUUCCCAACUUGUCAUCCCUCCUGCUGCAACCUCUGAGCCCUCCUAAGCUUUCCCCAGUGAGGUUAUUCUGGCCACCAGCAGUUUGGCGAUCACCAUAGGUGAUCUUCCCUGGACGGAGGAGCUGGAUUUAAAGAAGAGGAUGGUGGUCAGGAAAGACACAACUAGACAUCUGAGCAGUGACACUGCCAGGACUUGAUGACUAUUUGGGAAAGAUUUGGGGACCAAGCUCCUGGUGUCCCCAGAAAAGUCCACUGAACAAAACAUUGAGAAAGUCUCUAGGGGAACAGAGGGAAAAGGUCUCAUGUCUGGGCAGCAACAGAACUGCUUGCACACUGGAAGAAGAGAGAUCCUUCAGAGGACCUGGAAUGUUCUUGGGUCCAAACUCAAAGGGUGGCCUAUUGCAUUUCCUCUGCCUCCAAUAAGUGGAUACAAGCCUGAUGCUGCCUUCCAAAAGAGCAUGGAGCUAUUAAAAGCCUUAAUGAAAUCUGGAA